rnacentral:rRNA from 1 species
GAUGAACGCUGGCGGCGUGCCUAAUACAUGCAAGUCGAGCGAACAGAUAAGGAGCUUGCUCCUUUGAAGUUAGCGGCGGACGGGUGAGUAACACGUGGGUAACCUACCUAUAAGACUGGGAUAACUUCGGGAAACCGGAGCUAAUACCGGAUAACAUUUAGAACCGCAUGGUCCUAAAGUGAAAGAUGGUUUUGCUAUCACUUAUAGAUGGACCCGCGCCGUAUUAGCUAGUUGGUAAGGUAACGGCUUACCAAGGCGACGAUACGUAGCCGACCUGAGAGGGUGAUCGGCCACACUGGAACUGAGACACGGUCCAGACUCCUACGGGAGGCAGCAGUAGGGAAUCUUCCGCAAUGGGCGAAAGCCUGACGGAGCAACGCCGCGUGAGUGAUGAAGGGUUUCGGCUCGUAAAACUCUGUUAUUAGGGAAGAACAAAUGUGUAAGUAACUGUGCACAUCUUGACGGUACCUAAUCAGAAAGCCACGGCUAACUACGUGCCAGCAGCCGCGGUAAUACGUAGGUGGCAAGCGUUAUCCGGAAUUAUUGGGCGUAAAGCGCGCGUAGGCGGUUUCUUAAGUCUGAUGUGAAAGCCCACGGCUCAACCGUGGAGGGUCAUUGGAAACUGGGAAACUUGAGUGCAGAAGAGGAAAGUGGAAUUCCAUGUGUAGCGGUGAAAUGCGCAGAGAUAUGGAGGAACACCAGUGGCGAAGGCGACUUUCUGGUCUGUAACUGACGCUGAUGUGCGAAAGCGUGGGGAUCAAACAGGAUUAGAUACCCUGGUAGUCCACGCCGUAAACGAUGAGUGCUAAGUGUUAGGGGGUUUCCGCCCCUUAGUGCUGCAGCUAACGCAUUAAGCACUCCGCCUGGGGAGUACGACCGCAAGGUUGAAACUCAAAGGAAUUGACGGGGACCCGCACAAGCGGUGGAGCAUGUGGUUUAAUUCGAAGCAACGCGAAGAACCUUACCAAAUCUUGACAUCCUUUGAAAACUCUAGAGAUAGAGCCUUCCCCUUCGGGGGACAAAGUGACAGGUGGUGCAUGGUUGUCGUCAGCUCGUGUCGUGAGAUGUUGGGUUAAGUCCCGCAACGAGCGCAACCCUUAAGCUUAGUUGCCAUCAUUAAGUUGGGCACUCUAGGUUGACUGCCGGUGACAAACCGGAGGAAGGUGGGGAUGACGUCAAAUCAUCAUGCCCCUUAUGAUUUGGGCUACACACGUGCUACAAUGGACAAUACAAAGGGCAGCUAAACCGCGAGGUCAUGCAAAUCCCAUAAAGUUGUUCUCAGUUCGGAUUGUAGUCUGCAACUCGACUACAUGAAGCUGGAAUCGCUAGUAAUCGUAGAUCAGCAUGCUACGGUGAAUACGUUCCCGGGUCU